rnacentral:rRNA from 1 species
AGCCUGGGAUAACGCCGGGAAACCGGUGCUAAUACCAGAUAUCGUGGUUCGGAGGCAUCUCUGGACCACGAAAGGUAGCGUAAACGCUUCCUAGGAUGGGCCCGCGUUCCAUUAGCUAGUUGGUGAGGUAACGGCUCACCAAGGCUUCGAUGGGUAGCCGGCCUGAGAGGGUGAACGGCCACACUGGGACUGAGACACGGCCCAGACUCCUACGGGAGGCAGCAGUAGGGAAUAUUGCGCAAUGGGGGAAACCCUGACGCAGCGACGCCGCGUGAGUGAUGAAGGCCUUCGGGUCGUAAGACUCUGUCCUCAGGGAAGAAAACAAUGACGGUACCUGAGGAGGAAGCCCCGGCUAACUACGUGCCAGCAGCCGCGGUAAUACGUAGGGGGCGAGCCUUGUCCCGGAAUUAUUGGGCCUAAAGGGUGCGUAGCGGGCAACCCAGUCAGAUGUGAAAGACCACGGCUUAACCGUGGGGUUGCAUUUGAAACUAGUUGGCUUGAGUAUCGGAGAGGGUAGUGGAAUUCCUGGAGUAGCGGUGAAAUGCGUAGAUAUCAGGAGGAACACCAGUGGCGAAGGCGACUACCUGGACGAACACUGACGCUGAGGCACGAAAGCUAGGGGAGCAAACAGGAUUAGAUACCCUGGUAGUCCUAGCUGUAAACGAUGGGUGCUAGGUGUUGGGGGUAU